AUGGCCAUGGCCAUGGAGUCGGCCGCCCCCAGCCCCCGCGGCGCGUCGAGGAAGCGCCCGCGGAGCCAGACGCCGCCUCCCGCAGGGGAGGGCCCGAGCGAGCCCGCGCUCGCCCGGCCCCGCUUCGCAGAAAACCUCGACCUCGUCCUCUCCCUCCAGAGCAAGGAGCUCUCCCUCCAAAGAAAGGUUGAACUGGCCUUCAAUUUUAUAAAGGCCGAGUCAAAUAGUUCAAGCCAUGGCCAUAGAGUGGACAAUAUCCAGCUAUUGCGAAUGGUGUCAUUUAUUGGAAACUGGGUGCAAUCAAUUCUGUCUAAGAAAGUUCCAGAGCCUUUUGAUCCUGUGUUAGAUUAUAGAUGCUGGGAAAUUCUGAGAUUUUGCAUUGAAAAGAAGCCGUCAGUCUCAAUUUCUCUGAAGCUACUUCAACCACUUGGUUGCAUUGCAAAGGAUGGUUUGAGCAGAGUUCAAAUCGGCGCUUCAUGUGAUGACCAUGUAUCCUUUUUGCUCUUCGAACGAGUUUUCGACUGCGUGUCCUUUCUGUUCUCCUCCAACACAAGAGCUUUCUUCAACGCACCCGUGGAUUUGUGGACCUCUUGUGUCACCGAGGCUAUUAAUCUUAUCCAGAAGGUUUCAACUAAUGAGAAAAAGGGUUGUACCAUUCUUCAGAAUCUUGGAAAUUGUCUGCUUGAGCAAUUUUCAAGCUUUCUCAGAUUCCAUGCAAAUCCUAAGAAUAUUUUCCGUCCUUUUCUUGACAAGAUUCUUGAUCCGCUGUUGGAAUUGUUGGUUUUACUUAAUUCACAAGCAAAUUCUAUCAAGCACAAGCAGCCAGGAUCCACGUUGAAGAUUGCUGAAGAAAUUUUGUCAAAUGGACUGUUUCAUCCACAACAUCUUAGUGGAUAUUUUGGACUCAAGAAUUUGAAUAAAGGUAUUGUCAAGGAUGUCAAAGGAAGCUACCAUAGGCAUCUAUUUGAGCGAUUCAAAGGAAUAAAAGCAGAAAGCAAGGCUGUAUUGCUUUCUGGGUUCGGUUACUUGCUUCAAUUGUUUGUUACCAGGGCUAGAAAUCAAAGAACAUCUUUAGCACCAAGGGGUACAUCCUUCAAAAGCCCACAAAAAACCAGUGAGGGUUCUGAAGAACCCCAGCAACAAGGAGAAUCCAUUUUUGAAGUGUUCAUGCAAUUUAUGGAACCUUUGGUGUUAGAAUGCAAAUCAUAUUCGCAAAAGGACUUCUCUGAUUUAGGAGUCACAAAGCUAGUAGAAGUUCAUUGCAUGCUGAAGUCCAUCAAUGAGAUGCUAGCAACAGUUACUGAAGAGAAAAUUUAUGUCCCUACAGAGGACACAUUGGAAGGAUCUUAUCUCCAGUUCUUGCAAGAAAUUUACCGGGUCUUAAUCUUGAUGGCUGAAAAAAUGUACGACUUCUGGGUGUCAGCUCUGCAUUUAGAAGAUACAAACGUUAAGAAGAUGCUGCCUUUAAUGUUUGUGGAGAUUGUUGUUGCAGUUGGUCAUUUUCUAGAAAUUGAAUACAAGGUCAUGGGGAGUGACCUUGUAAAAUUAUGGUCAAUGAUUUUUGCUUUGUCUGCUAUCAAUGCAUCUUCCAAGGACAUCAAACCAUGCUUACUACUAACCUCAAAGAUUUCAAGCCUUUCGUCCCAAGUGAUUCGUACAUUUAGUGAGCUUCGUCAGGUUGCGCACGCCAUUUGUACGCUGUGCAAUACUGUGAGAACAUUCAGAGCUGUUGCUGGUCCUGAUGCAGUACCAGGACCGUUUUCUGUGGCUUCUUUAUCCUCACAUAAAUGUUUUGAAUCACUGGCAACAUUGCUGAGCUCCCAAACAUUGAGGGAUGCUAUCUGUACUUCAAUUAACUCAAUGCCAGAAGGACAGUCUAGUCGAUGCAUAGAGGAGCUGACAGUAGAUCUUACACAAACAUUGAAAUGGAUGAAAAGUUGCGACGAGUUUGUAGAUUUGGAAACACAGGGAGAGCCCCGCUUGAUGUCCAGGAAGUCAGUUUUUCAUCAGAGAGCUGAACUUUUUGGAAGGUACUUAUCUGAACUAUACACAAGCGUGCUUGACUCAAUAACUGUGACCGCUUCAAAUACUACACUGGUUGCAAAAUCUGUUGAAAGGUUGGUCAACACAAUACGUCCCAACUUGAGUCAGUUGAUGAGAAAUGAAUCAAUUAAUCCAAGUGAGUUCAUUUCUUCAGUUGUAGGAAAGAACCUAUCUAACAAGCAAUGUGCCAACUGGCAAAAGAUUCCAAGUUUGUCUUGGUUUUUUGCCUUCUUCUUUCGCAUAUAUACAUCAUGUAGGAGUCUGUAUCUGCAAUCUGUUGGCCUCAUGCCUCCAAAUUUAGCAAUAGAAGCAACAGAAUUAGUGGGGAAUUCAUUCAUUGUAUGUUGCGGAAAGGAAUGGACCAAUACAUCCAAUAUUGUCGCUGAAGGCUACUUUGCUUGGAUUGUUGAAAGUGCUGGCUCCCUUUGGGAAGUCACCGAAAUUUUAUCACAGUCCCUUCCAAGAAACCAUUCUGGCUUUACUACGCUUUUUUACACCCUUCAUCUGAUGGCUCUGCAAAGACUCGAAGAUCUUAACAGGCAGAUUAAUGCAUUUGACUUUUUGCUUGAAGACGGCACACAGCAGUUUGAUACUGAGGAUAGGGGAAACACUGAGUUAUUAAAGGAUCCUUGCUGUCUUGAGGCUGCUCGACUAACCAGUUUUAUGAUGAACUAUGUGAGAACAUUAUCUUCAGGAGGAACUGACAGGAUUUCUUCCUGGGAUAUGAGUAUAUGCUCUUUAGAUGAAGAUUCUUUCCAUAUAGCAACUUGGCGGCUUCUGUGUGAAAACAUUGAUAUUUGGAGUUCUCAUGCAUCGAAGAAGGACCUAAAGAACUUCUUUUCGAACCUGAUAAAGUUUUCUUUUGUUCAAAAGAGGUCAUGCAGAGAUGAGGAGAGUAGUGUCUGUCAGGAUUCAUGCAGAGAAAUAACCUUGCAUACUAUUUCGGUGGAGCUUCUUUGUGAUACUAUCAUUUAUGACCAAAAGGUGCUAUUAAAGAAUUUGGUAUCAUGUUUUUGUGGUGCUCUCAAGAAAUCAAUAUCUUCUUUUAUCACCGGAGCUGAUGAAGAUAAUGCCUUAUUGAACAUCUCGCCUGAUUUGAUGGAGAUAUUAAAUAAACUGAAUAAUGAGAAGUUGGUCCGUACAUAUCCUGAUUCUACACAUGCACACGGUGUAGAUAAGUACCGGAUCUGUGAGAAUUUACUAAAUUUUUGUAGCACAGUUCCCGGAUUUCAUUCCAACUCCAAGUCAUUCUUGCAACUUAUAACUUACAUUCUCCAUCUUGAAAGACUUCUGCUGUUGACAUUGCUAAGUCGCCAUUAUGAAUCAUGUAAUCCAAUUGAGCUAAUCCGUCUGUUUAUAUGUUGUCGAAGGGCAAUGCAAAAUCUUGUUUCGAAAUUUGGCAAAGAGUACCCAGAGUCAAAGCAAUACUCCACGUUUUCCGAACUUCUAGGUAACUCAUAUUCUCUGAUUUGGCUUUUGAGAUCUGUCCAGGAGAUUAUUGGAUUGUCACACGAAAUAUUUGGUGAGCACACUGAUCAGAAGAAAAAUACCUUGUUCUCCUUGGUAGAUAAGACAUCAGAAAUAUUUUCUACACUAGCGAACAUGAAUUCGAAAUUUUGCUUGCUGGGUCCCAAGAAACAAAUUGGAUCUUCCCUGAAGCAUACUGCUAGUGAAAGCGACACUUCUAAACAUGAUGGUCAGGCAUUUGAUACUCUAGAAAAUUCAGCCUUGGAGCAUGUCAAAACUAUGGCUGAACAGUUAGAGAAGACUACAGCUGGCAUACCUGUAACCACAAAGGAUUGCAAGUGUGUUAUAAAAAUAGAGAACUCUUAUGACAAUGUGUGCUGGGAUAAACUAUUAUGCACCAUGUCUUGCAUAGGUGGAUUCUUGUGGGGUCUUGUUUCAGCAUUUGAAAGCACAAUCAAAGACUAUCCAACUGCAAGCUCAGAGGAAAGAAAACUGAUGCUUCACUAUGCCUCCAAUUUCAGCAGAUCUAUUGGUAAAUUUGAGAGCUUUGUAGAUAUCUGUCUGCAUGUCUUGUUUAUGGAGAACAAGGAUUUUGGGUCUGUUGAUUUGAUCUCUGGUCGUCUGCCACAAGAGCUGGAUUGUGAGAAUGGUUUUCUGAAUAUUGAAGUAGUCAUGGAUGUAUGGACUAUGCAUCAGCUAAAGGAUAACAAAUUACAGUCAGAUGGUCCACCCGGUAUGAAAGGAUCUCUUUUGGAAAAUCUGUUAAAUGGUGAAGGUCCAUUUGUAGCAUUUACUUUGAGGGAGCUCUACAGUGUAUCUGCUGCUAUUGUUAAGUUGAAGGGCCUCAUAUCCUUUUCAGGCGAUGUCUGUAGGAAGGCAUGCAAUCCUUUCCAGCACCUGUCGCUAAAUCCAAUGGUUGGGACAGCUUGCAUUGCCCUACAGAAAAUUGCAGACAUGUCUGAUUGGCCAGAUAUGUUUUCUCUUGUAUGGAUUGAUGGAAUAUUAAGAUAUCUUGAAGUUUUAGGAACAUUUCCUGAACUCAACUUGUCAAAAGAACUGUAUGCUCAGAUAGUAAAUGCACAUGUGAGUGCUAUUGGAAAAUGCAUUUUACUUCAAGGAAAGAGUGCGACUCUACCUACCCAUGAGAUUGGAUCAAGCACAAAAACACUUCAGUUACAGAAUACAUCUGGCUAUGUAGUUACGAAGAAUAUUAUCGAUAGGCAGAAUAGGUUAAAUUCAUUGAUAUCAAGACUUAGACUGUCGAUGAGAAAUUUUGUUAGUGUUGCAUCAAACAUGCAUCUAAGUGCAACUUUACAAGUCAUUGAGAGAGCCUUGGUCGGAGUGAAUCAAUAUAGCCACUCAAUAUAUGAAGUGGAGACUGGAACAUCUGAUGGUGGGACAGUUUCUUCUGACGUUGCUGCUGGAAUUGACUGCCUUUAUCUUGUUCUUGGAUCUGUGCCAGGAAAUAAGCGCGUUUUUCAGAGAACUGUCCUAAGCCUAGUUGGUGCUUUAUUCAACAUUGUUUUACACCUUGAAAGUCCACUAAUUUUCUAUAUAGAGAAGCUACCUCCUCUUUGCCCUGAUUUGCAUCCAGAUGCUGGAGCGAUUGUUCUAAUGUGUGUUGAGGUUAUCACAUCAUUUGCGGGGAGGCAUACUUUUCAAAUCGAUGCAUGUCAUGUGUCCCAGUGCCUGCAUCUUCCUGUGAUGCUUUUCAAGGGCUUCAAACAUCUUCUUGCUGAUCGGAGUGUAUCCUGUUCAUCAGAAAACAUUCAUGAGCAAAUUGCAGGACAACCUCUAGCUAGUAAAGAAUACUUACUUGACAGACAAUUUUCUGUUGACAUGUAUGCUGCAUGUUGCAAAUUGUUAUGCACUGUUCUUCGGCACCAACAAAGUGAGGUUGGACAAUGUGUGGCUGUCCUGGAAGACUCGGUAAACAUACUACUUAGUUGCUUGGAGUCUGCAGAUUCCAAGAUGGUUAGCAUGGCAGGAUGUUUCACUUGGAACAAGGAGGAGGCACUAAAAUGUGCUUCCUUUUUCAGAAGGAUCUAUGAAGAGAUGCGUCAGCAAAAAACCAUCAUGGAACAUCACUCGAUGCACUUUCUUGCUGGUUAUAUUUCCAUGUUUUCUGGACUGGGUCCAUUUCAGACAGGCAUAACACGGGAAAUUGACGAGGCCUUGCGACCUGGGGUGUAUUCCCUAAUUGAUAUCUGCCAGGAAAGCGAUUUUCAACAGCUUCACACGUACCUGGGUGAGGGCCCAUGCCGAACCACUCUUGCUAACCUAGUGCAUGACUAUAAAUUGCACUUCCAGUAUCAGGGCAAAAUCUAG
rnacentral:rRNA from 1 species